rnacentral:rRNA from 1 species
GACGAACGCUGACGGUGUGCUUUAGACAUGCAAGUCGAACGAGAAAGCCCUUCGGGUUAGUAAAGUGGCGAACGGGUGAGUAACACGUGGGCAAUCUGCCCCUCGCAGGGGGACGAACCGGAGGAAACUCCGGCUAAUACCCCGUAAGUUCAAAGGGAGGCAUCUCUCUUCGAAGAAAGGUAGCUUCGGCCAUCCGGCGAGGAUGAGCCCGCGGUGCAUUAGCUAGUUGGUGGGGUAACGGCCUACCAAGGCGACGAUGCAUAGCUGGUCUGAGAGGAUGAUCAGCCACACUGGGACUGAGACACGGCCCAGACUCCUACGGGAGGCAGCAGUCGGGAAUCUUGCGCAAUGGGCGAAAGCCUGACGCAGCAACACCGUGUGUGUGAGGAA